rnacentral:rRNA from 1 species
UAAGGAAUAUUGGUCAAUGGGCGCAAGCCUGAACCAGCCAUGCCGCGUGCAGGAAGACGGCCCUACGGGUUGUAAACUGCUUUUAUGCCGGAAUAAACCCCUCUACGUGUAGGGGGCUGAACGUACGGCAGGAAUAAGGAUCGGCUAACUCCGUGCCAGCAGCCGCGGUAAUACGGAGGAUCCAAGCGUUAUCCGGAUUUAUUGGGUUUAAAGGGUGCGUAGGCGGCUUUUUAAGUCAGGGGUGAAAGACGGUGGCUCAACCAUCGCAGUGCCCUUGAUACUGAAGAGCUUGAAUACACUAGAGGUAGGCGGAAUGUGACAAGUAGCGGUGAAAUGCAUAGAUAUGUCACAGAACACCGAUUGCGAAGGCAGCUUACUAUGGUGUGAUUGACGCUGAGGCACGAAAGCGUGGGGAUCAAACAG